UGGCGGCGCGCCUAACCCAUGCAAGUCGAACGGAGUUAUUAAGACAGAAGCCUUCGGGUGGAAGAUUUAGUAACUUAGUGGCGGACGGGUGAGUAACACGUGAGGAACCUGCCUUACAGAGGGGGAUAACGUCUGGAAACGGACGCUAAUACCGCAUGACACCAUCGGGGGGCAUCCCCUGAUGGUCAAAGAUUUAUCGCUGUAAGAUGGCCUCGCGGUCGAUUAGAUAGUUGGCGGGGUAAUGGCCCACCAAGUCGACGAUCGAUAGCCGGACUGAGAGGUUGAUCGGCCACAUUGGGACUGAGACACGGCCCAGACUCCUACGGGAGGCAGCAGUGGGGGAUAUUGCACAAUGGAGGAAACUCUGAUGCCAGCGACGCCGCGUGAGGGAAGAAGGUCUUCGGAUUGUAAACCUCUGUCUUCAGGGACGAUAAUGACGGUACCUGAGGAGGAAGCCACGGCUAACUACGUGCCAGCCGCUGC
rnacentral:rRNA from 1 species